UCAACCCACAUCAUAACAAGGUUGACCUCGGAUCAGGUAGGGAUACCCGCUGAACUUAAG
rnacentral:rRNA from 1 species